rnacentral:rRNA from 1 species
GUUGACCUCGGAUCAGGUAGGAAUACCCGCUGAACUUAAGCAUAUCAAUAAGCGGAGGAAAAGAAACCAACAGGGAUUGCCUCAGUAACGGCGAGUGAAGCGGCAACAGCUCAAAUUUGAAAUCUGGCCCUAGGCCCGAGUUGUAAUUUGCAGAGGAUGCUUUUGGCAAGGUGCCUUCCGAGUUCCCUGGAACGGGACGCCAUAGAGGGUGAGAGCCCCGUCUGGUCGGACACCGAGCCUCUGUAAAGCUCCUUCGACGAGUCGAGUAGUUUGGGAAUGCUGCUCAAAAUGGGAGGUAUAUGUCUUCUAAAGCUAAAUACCGGCCAGAGACCGAUAGCGCACAAGUAGAGUGAUCGAAAGAUGAAAAGCACUUUGAAAAGAGAGUUAAAUAGCACGUGAAAUUGUUGAAAGGGAAGCGUUUAUGACCAGACUUGGCCCGGUUGAUCAUCCAGCCUUCUGGCUGGUGCACUCUGCCGGUCCAGGCCAGCAUCAGUUCGUCGCGGGGGAUAAAGGUUUCGGGAAUGUAGCUCCUCCGGGAGUGUUAUAGCCCGUUGCGUAAUACCCUGCGGUGGACUGAGGUCCGCGCUUCUGCAAGGAUGCUGGCGUAAUGGUCAUCAACGAC